UGGGGAAUUUUCCGCAAUGGGCGAAAGCCUGACGGAGCAACGCCGCGUGAGGGAUGAAGGCCUCUGGGCUGUAAACCUCUUUUCUCAAGGAAGAAGAUCUGACGGUACUUGAUGAAUAAGCCACGGCUAAUUCCGUGCCAGCAGCCGCGGUAAUACGGGAGUGGCAAGCGUUAUCCGGAAUUAUUGGGCGUAAAGCGUCCGCAGGCGGCCUUGAAAGUCUGUCGUUAAAGCGUGGAGCUUAACUCCAUUUGAGCGAUGGAAACUGCAAGACUAGAGUGUGGUAGGGGCAGAGGGAAUUCCCGGUGUAGCGGUGAAAUGCGUAGAUAUCGGGAAGAACACCAGUGGCGAAGGCGCUCUGCUGGGCCAUAACUGACGCUCAUGGACGAAAGCCAGGGGAGCGAAAGGGAUUAGAUACCCCUGUAGUC
rnacentral:rRNA from 1 species